rnacentral:misc_RNA from 1 species
GGACUACCCGGGUUUCUAAUCCUGUUUGCUCCCCACGCUUUCGCACCUGAGCGUCAGUAUUGGUCCAGGAAGCCGCCUUCGCCACUGAUGUUCCUUCCGAUAUCUACGCAUUUCACCGCUACACCGGAAAUUCCGCUUCCCUCUCCCAUACUCGAGCAAGGCAGUUUCGGAUGCAGUUCCCAGGUUGAGCCCGGGGAUUUCACACCCGACAUACCAAGCCGCCUACGUGCGCUUUACGCCCAGUAAUUCCGAUUAACGCUCGCACCCUCUGUAUUACCGCGGCGGCUGGCACU